AGAGUUUGAUCCUGGCUCAGGACGAACGCUGGCGGUGUGCUUCACACAUGCAAGUCGAGCGAAUGAAGAAGGUAGCUUGCUACUUAUGGAUUUAGCGGCGGACGGGUGAGUAAUAUAUAGGAAUCUGCCUUAGAGCGGGGAACAACAGACCGAAAGGUUUGCUAAUGCCCCAUAGGUAUGCAGUCUUCGGAUUGUAUAUUAAAGGAGUAAUCCACUCUAAGAUGAGCCUGUAUCCGAUUAGCUAGUUGGCGGGGUAAAGGCCCACCAAGGCUACGAUCGGUAGUUGGUCUGAGAGGAUGAUCAGCCACAAUGGGACUGAGACACGGCCCAUACUCCUACGGGAGGCAGCAGUGGGGAAUUUUACACAAUGGGGGAAACCCUGAUGUAGCGACACCGCGUGAACGAAGAAGCCUUUUGGGGUGUAAAGUUCUGUCGGCUGGAACGAAAAAAAUGACGGUACCAGCAAAGGAAGCAUCGGCUAACUACGUGCCAGCAGCCGCGGUAAGACGUAGGAUGCAGGCGUUGUCCGGAUUUAUUGGGCGUAAAGAGUUCGUAGGCGGUUAUUUAAGUCUGAUGUUAAAUACUGUGGCCCAACCACAGAACUGCAUUGGAUACUGGAUGACUUGAGUGCGGUAGAGGCAAGUGGAAUUCCCAGUGUAGCGGUGAAAUGCGUAGA
rnacentral:rRNA from 1 species